rnacentral:rRNA from 1 species
UUAAAUUGAAGAGUUUGAUCAUGGCUCAGAUUGAACGCUGGCGGCAGGCCUAACACAUGCAAGUCGAGCGGUAGCACAGAGAGCUUGCUCUCGGGUGACGAGCGGCGGACGGGUGAGUAAUGUCUGGGAAACUGCCUGAUGGAGGGGGAUAACUACUGGAAACGGUAGCUAAUACCGCAUAAUGUCGCAAGACCAAAGUGGGGGACCUUCGGGCCUCAUGCCAUCAGAUGUGCCCAGAUGGGAUUAGCUAGUAGGUGGGGUAACGGCUCACCUAGGCGACGAUCCCUAGCUGGUCUGAGAGGAUGACCAGCCACACUGGAACUGAGACACGGUCCAGACUCCUACGGGAGGCAGCAGUGGGGAAUAUUGCACAAUGGGCGCAAGCCUGAUGCAGCCAUGCCGCGUGUGUGAAGAAGGCCUUCGGGUUGUAAAGCACUUUCAGCGGGGAGGAAGGCGAUAAGGUUAAUAACCUUGUCGAUUGACGUUACCCGCAGAAGAAGCACCGGCUAACUCCGUGCCAGCAGCCGCGGUAAUACGGAGGGUGCAAGCGUUAAUCGGAAUUACUGGGCGUAAAGCGCACGCAGGCGGUCUGUCAAGUCGGAUGUGAAAUCCCCGGGCUCAACCUGGGAACUGCAUUCGAAACUGGCAGGCUAGAGUCUUGUAGAGGGGGGUAGAAUUCCAGGUGUAGCGGUGAAAUGCGUAGAGAUCUGGAGGAAUACCGGUGGCGAAGGCGGCCCCCUGGACAAAGACUGACGCUCAGGUGCGAAAGCGUGGGGAGCAAACAGGAUUAGAUACCCUGGUAGUCCACGCCGUAAACGAUGUCGAUUUGGAGGUUGUGCCCUUGAGGCGUGGCUUCCGGAGCUAACGCGUUAAAUCGACCGCCUGGGGAGUACGGCCGCAAGGUUAAAACUCAAAUGAAUUGACGGGGGCCCGCACAAGCGGUGGAGCAUGUGGUUUAAUUCGAUGCAACGCGAAGAACCUUACCUGGUCUUGACAUCCACAGAACUUUCCAGAGAUGGAUUGGUGCCUUCGGGAACUGUGAGACAGGUGCUGCAUGGCUGUCGUCAGCUCGUGUUGUGAAAUGUUGGGUUAAGUCCCGCAACGAGCGCAACCCUUAUCCUUUGUUGCCAGCGGUUCGGCCGGGAACUCAAAGGAGACUGCCAGUGAUAAACUGGAGGAAGGUGGGGAUGACGUCAAGUCAUCAUGGCCCUUACGACCAGGGCUACACACGUGCUACAAUGGCAUAUACAAAGAGAAGCGACCUCGCGAGAGCAAGCGGACCUCAUAAAGUAUGUCGUAGUCCGGAUUGGAGUCUGCAACUCGACUCCAUGAAGUCGGAAUCGCUAGUAAUCGUAGAUCAGAAUGCUACGGUGAAUACGUUCCCGGGCCUUGUACACACCGCCCGUCACACCAUGGGAGUGGGUUGCAAAAGAAGUAGGUAGCUUAACCUUCGGGAGGGCGCUUACCACUUUGUGAUUCAUGACUGGGGUGAAGUCGUAACAAGGUAACCG